GUGCACUCGAACCCUUAUCAUUCUUUCGCCCCGUGUGAUUUUUUAACAACUGGACGGAGAACUGAUAAGGGCCCGGGUCACC
rnacentral:pre_miRNA from 1 species